GGGGAAGGGAGUCUCAAGCAGCAUCCCACAGCGUUCUGUGGCUCCACACAAGCACUGGAAGGGGAGGAUACUGACCAUAUAUAUACCCACGCUGGAACUGAGCUUCUCAGGCUUGGAGGCUGGAGAACUGGGCCAAUUUCAGUAGAGGAAGAUGGGAAGCAAGAAGACAGAGCAAAGUGAUUGAAUCAAAGGUCUCCAGGGCCAAAAGUCUCCAUUUGAGCUUGUGAUAUGGCAUGGAGGCCUACUGCUGUUCAGAAGCAAAAACAAAUGAAACAUCCCACUGGGCAUGACCAAGCCCCUGGGCAUAUCUAAAACAGCUCUUUGGAUCCUGGCCAGCAUGUAGGUAUUACGGGUGAGUGAGGAGAAACAGACCUGAUAUAUUUAAAAAAGGAUGUACUCAAUGUUUUCCUCUGCUAUAAAUUCAUUGCCUACAGAAUCAUUGAUCCUUGAGUUGAAACUGUAUGAAUAAAAUAAAUAAUUGGAAAAUAAAAAAUGCAUUGUGUUUGCUAGAAGGAAAAUAUUAAACAUAUAGUAAACAUUACUACAUGGUUUAUCCUUGAGUGUUGGCUGUUAACACCAUAUCUGAAAUAGUUCAUUGGCUUUACCAUAAUAUGGUAAGUGGCCAUGCACCCUUUCAGGCUGUUUUUUUUUGCACCCCUUUCAAGCUGUUUUUGGA